rnacentral:lncRNA from 1 species
AGACCUAUGAAUUAGAAGAAUGCCCUUUUUAUAGGAUGCCUAUACUUAGAGGCUUAUAGUUGAGUAUUUUCUAAUGUGGUGCAAAUUUUGUGUUGUUCUUAUGGCCCAUGGUCAUAUGUCAAGUAUUCCAAUACAUUUCCACAUAUCAGUUUUUUUAUUCUUCACGUAACACAUGUUCAUGUCCAAUCAAGGAUGGAUUCAAGUGGUGCUGGGACAUGUACAGAAAUGGAGUUCAUUAUAUAUGGAGACAGGUUUUGAAUUGGGGUUUGAUUCUGAUGUAAAUUGCACUACGACUACAUCACAAAGACAAACCCAGCUGAAGAAUCAAUACCUUAGUUCUAAGAAGAUAACAAAACUAGAUGUAUCUUUUCUUGUAUGAGUUACUUUGCCACGAAUCAAGUCUUGGGACGACUUACCAGAUAUUUUUAGAAAACUAAAUAGCUUAUCAAUCCUCAUGGCGCGGCGUGCCGCCGCGCACUACCUGCUAGUUAAUCUUAGAGCAGCUUUAUUUCAGUGUAAUUUUUCUUUCGAAGGUCAUGUUGUCAAUGUUGAAGCACAUAGAUUAGCCAAAUAUUCACUUAAUCUUGGUCCGGGGCGUCACCUUUUUGGUUAGACCACCUCAUGAUCCGAAUUGUAUCCCACUUUCUGUGGUUCUUGAUGAAUAAAAUUGGCGUUACCUCUCAAAAAAAAAACUGCUGCCGCACGGGCGCAUAUAUUCAUCCAUGCAUCAUCAAUGUUUGAGGAACCAACCAAAUUCUGAAGCACGUAAGAAGGGACAGUUCCAACUUCCAAAGGCAGAGCUGAAGAAGCACUCGUUUUCCCUUGACUAGAAGAACGCCCGUGCGUUGCAACGGGGCCAUAUUAACUUUAAAAGUUUAAUAUCAAUUAUGUUAAUAUUACAUUUAAUAUUCUCAUACAUAUUAAGUGACAUUGACGACCUUUUUUACCAUCAAAUUCUCACACACACACCCUUUCCCUCCCUCUUCCUCACUCUCUCUUCCCCUCUCCCUCACUCGAGAGGUGAGACGAAAAUAAACCCGGAACGGAGACUACCAACUGAGACAUUAGGAGUAAAGAUCAUUUAGUUGAUAAGAAUAAAUAGAAAACGGUGUUAAAAAGGAGAAACAGAUUAGAAUACAUUGAAAAACCAAAAGGACGAUGUAAAAGGGGAUUCGUCCUGCCCCCCGGGCCUUGCCACCGAACCGGCUCAGCGGUCCAGUCCCCGCGCGGUCGUCUUCUCCUGUUUUCCGAGCCGCGUCGCUACAGAGCCGGGCUCCCGCCCGACCACCUCGCUGGCAUCGAAGGGGAAUGGAUAAGGGUGACGCCCUUCCUUCCCUGCCCCCAUGGCCUCACUCCUCCUCGACGCCCCCUCCCAAAUCCACUUCUCCUCCUCGCUCGCUCGAUCCCGUCGAUCUGGACAAAGUCAGACGCCACGGCCACCAUGACCGACCCCGUCCACAUGGCCACUGCCCUCCCUGCGGGCUAGGAGCUUGUCGAGGAGCUCCGAACGCCUUCGCUACUUCGUCUGCACCAACGAGAUCAAGUCCAGCACCCCGCAUUGACGUCGCUGCCGUCUUCCCCAACCUUGGGCCACCGCGACAUUGCCGUUCGAUCCGCGCCGCCCCGAGCUCCCAUGUCUUCCCCUAGGGCGCCAUUGACACCGCCAUGAUCUCCUCUUGCCUUUCCCCUGUUUCCCCUCUCGUUUGCUCUCGUUAGGUAUUUCGCCGUGGCUGAGAACCGCCGUCCGCCAUGGCCAUUGCAGGGGUAGCCACCGAGCUCCUCGGAUUGACCCCGUGGCACAUGCCCGCUCCUAUGCACGCCCAUGCCCGAGCCUGCCGCUCUUCUUCCGCGCCCGCGGGGCCACUCCCUCUCCAUGCCCACGCACGUGCUACACCGCGUCGGUCGCGCCCGCCGCUGCCGUCGCGCUCGCCGCAGCCACCGCACCACUGUGCCCCGCGCGACACACAUCCUGGCCGCGCGCCACACUCUCGCUGGCUGCGCUCGCCCCGUCUGCUGCCGCCUAUCCCUUCGCUCGCCCCGCUGUCGCGCCCCUGCCUCGCGCCGCCUCCAGUCGUGGCCAUCUUCUGCCUGCCGCCCCCUCAGCCACGCCGGCCGCAUCUCUGCCCUCCACCGUUGGCCGCUCGCCUCGCCUGCUGCGUGUUGCUUCCUACUGCUAUCCGCUGCUCUACCGCUGGUACGCUGCUGCGCCAUGCCCUCGACACCGCUGUGGACAAAUGUGGCGGAGGGAUUGUUAAUGGAGUACGAGAAGGAGGUGGCGGAGAAGGUGUGGAGAGGCAGGAGGUCUGGGGCGGUGUCACCUGGCUGUGGUGGAGGUGUUUAUGCGAGAAGGAGCCGGAGUGGAAGGAGAGGUCACAAUUGGAAAGAAUCGCAAAAAAAAUCAUAACCCCGAGAUCUCAGUUCAAAAAAAUGCUAAUAUUGAUGGAGGGGUGAUUUCCUUCAAUAGGUGGAAAACAUAGGAAAUAUUGGUUGUUAUCAAGGAAAGGUAAAAAUUUAGGAAAGUUAGGAUUUUUGAACUGAUUUCUAUGCAAAUGGGGUUUUAUUGUUUGGUAACAUGAUAUCAGUACCUGCCCGUUUGUGACGUGUCUGAUUAGGAAAGUUUGCAAAUGUUAAGAAACUAUUUAUUGGGAGAAAAGUUGUGACGUGUCUGUUAUUUGUUUCCUAAAACAAAUUUCACUAAUAAGAGAAAUCGAUUGAUUUAGAUAAGUUAGGAAAGUUAGAUUAAAAUGUAUUAUUUGUUUUCUGAAAAUCUGUUAUUUGUUUCCUAAGACAAAUUGAACCAAUAAAAGGAAUCAAUUGAUUUGCAUAAUUUAAGGAAGUUAGAUUAAAAUGUAUUAUUUGUUUCCUGAAAAUCUGUUAUUUGUUUCCUAAGACAAAUUGAACCAAUAAAAAGAAUCGAUUGAUUUGCAUAAUUUAAGGAAGUUAGAUCCGUGAUUUGUUAUACGUUAGGAAAGUUCUGGUUGUAAUAAAGAGUGGAGAGAAAAAUAAACCGAUGAACCAGGAUGGGAGGGGGUGGUGGGAGGAGAGACGGUAAAAACCCAGUGAAAAUAAACGCGGACCAGGGUGGGAGGGGGUGGUGGGAGGAGAGACGGAAAAAAAAACAGCGAAAAUAAACCGCGGAGACGAUUCACCAACUCAUCCCUUAGGAGUAGAGAUCCGUACGUACUGCUCACCACAACAGCUCUAGUUCCAGCGCACAAGAUUUUCAUCGGCAUCAAGCAGUUCAUCUACCGACACAGUGCGUUCGUUCAUCUACCUUAAAUGAAUCCAAUAAUGUAAAAAUAAAAUAAAAUUGAACUAAAACCACGACGAGUAAAUCAGAACGGAGGGAGUAGAAGAGAGAUGCACCACACACAAAUAAGAAGCAGCGAUCAACUGUUAGUUUGUGGUGGCCGACAUUUUUAUUUGAUGCUACAACGCCGGCCUGAACCAAAUAUUGCAAAAGGGGCGGAUCAAGAGAGGAGAACGUGAGAAUAUAUAAAACAGAGGCUACUACAGUGAGGUCGUCAGCACAGCAUGCACACAGGUGAGCUGUGACAUGAAGAGAAGAUCUAGGGUCUGCUUUCUGAGAAGCUUAGCAUUGCGCUUUUUCCUGAUGUUCUAGUUGUAGAGAAGAUUGAUGAGCACAGUGUAUCGAGUUGUGUCAGGAGUUGCAAGCCCCCACAGAUGACGAAAAUUUUGAGGUGAGUUGAUCAACCCAAAGGAGUGAAGUCUGAAAAAAAAAAACUGAGAGUGUAGCCGCGACGCAAACGAACCCUGACCUCUCAAUCCCGGAAGUCUGUACCCUAAACAGUAGGGAGUGAAGUAGUAGAUGAUCAGUGGUCUCAGAAUCAGAGCACAGUUCCCCUCCUGGACCGAUGGUUCGCUGGUGAAGAAUCGAUUCUUGCAAGCGAGCCACUGUAUUUUGCUACUAGAUACUUUCUCCGUCCGGAAAUACUUGUCAUCAAAAUGAAUAAAAGAGGAUGUAUCUAGACGUAUUUUAGUUCCAGAUACAUCUUUUUCUAUCCAUUUUGAUAACAAGUAUUUUUGGACGAAAAGAGUAUGUGCAGAAGCAUUUAAUAAUAAGUAUCUGCAAAGCAAGAGGUCCUCCCCACUUGUGCCAAGAAGUUUUGAGUUGGAACCACAUUGCACUUUGCAGGGAUAAGAACAGUACCAAUUUCAAGGGCUUUGACUCCUUGCCUGUUCCAUUUGUGCGCCUUGUUGCUUGUACAAGAUUUUUGCACUAUAAACCAUAGAGAUACAUGAUGCCGCUGCUGACUCUUGCUGAAUGCUUAAUAUAGUUGCGUCUUUGUUUUAACCCAGGGUACUUCCUCCGUUCCAAAAUACUUGUCGUGGAUUUAGGUCAAAUUUGUACUAAAACUACCCUCCGUUCCAAAAUACUUGUCGUGAUUUUAGGUCAAAUUUGUACUAAAACCAUAACAAGUAUUUUGGAACGGAAGAAGUAGUAGACGGGGCAUAACGACAGAUAGGAGAGGACAGGACAGUAGUUUCUACUGAUUCAGUACGCCGUAUAUAUGAUGAUAAGUUGAGAAGCUUGUGUAAUGCGUGAACCUAGCUACCAAUAUCUUGCGGGAGAAUACUUGGACACUGUUGCGGUUGCUCAGUCAAACACAAUCUUAUGACUUGGCUGUGUGUCUAUAUAUAUAUAUAUAUAUAUAUAUAUAUAUAUAUAUAUAUAUAUAUAUAUAUAUAUUAGCAAAAAGUCCGUGCGUUGUAACGGGAAAAAAACAUUUCAUAUCUCUAGCUGGGUCAGUUAGACAAAUUGUGCGUGGCCGGUUGGCAGGUUAUGAGAUCGAACCCUCCCAUCGAAAUCACUAAUUAAGGAGUACUCGUUGCAAAGAACACUCCACUUUCCCAGGUCGCGACAAGUGGCGCACAUGCAGCGUGCCACUUGUCGCAACCCGGAAGUUUUCCUUUUUUUCGUAGAUCCGUUUAUUCAAAACGUUUUAUCUCUUAAACCAUCCAAAUCUCGAACCGUUUUCACCAUUGGAUUCCUCGCGUCGAGAUCUUCAAAACCAGAUCCCAUGUUGAUAGGUUUUGACGAACUUUUUAUUCACGAAAAAAACCGCACGAAAAAACCGGGCGAAAAAACCGAACCGGGAGCACGGUUUUUUCCCUUUCCGAAAGAGGCACGCCCGUGCCUCUCGCGAAAUCACAACCGUGCCUCUCGUGGAAGCAAAACCGUGACUCUCGUGGAAGGAAAAAAACAGAAAACGCGUUUUUUUUUCGUUUCCGAGAGGCACGGCCGUGACUCUCGCGAAAGCACAACCGUGUCUCUCGCGAAAGCAAAAACCGCGACUCUCGCGAAAGAAAAAAAACAGAAAACGCGUUUUUUUCCCUUUCCUAGAGGCACGGCCGUGACUUUCGCGAAAGCACAACCGUGCCUCUCGCGGAAGCAAACCAUGACUCUCACGAAAGAAAAAAANNNNNNNNNNNNNNNNNNNNNNNNNNNNNNNNNNNNNNNNNNNNNNNNNNNNNNNNNNNNNNNNNNNNNNNNNNNNNNNNNNNNNNNNNNNNNNNNNNNNNNNNNNNNNNNNNNNNNNNNNNNNNNNNNNNNNNNNNNNNNNNNNNNNNNNNNNNNNNNNNNNNNNNNNNNNNNNNNNNNNNNNNUUUCCGAGAGGCUCUCGUGAAAGCACAACCAUGCCUCUCGCGGAAGCAAAACCGUGACUCUCGCGAAAGAAAAAAAAAACAGAAAACGCGUUUUUUUUCGUUUUCGAAAGGCACGGCCGUGACUCUCGCAAAAGCACAACCGUACCUCUCGCGGAAGAAAAACCGUGACUUUCGCGAAAGGAAAAAAAAGAAAACGCAUUUUUUCACGCAAAAAAAUUAUUUUUUGGAAUUUUUUUUAUCGAAAAGCUAAGAAAGACCGGGGGAAACCAAAACGUCAAAAAAAUCCGGAAAAAAACCGUUUAAAAAGCCGAAAACGCGUGCGGAAAAAUAAAAAAAAAACAAAAUUCGAAGGAAGCGUCCAGAGCGCGACACGUGGCGAAUGGCUAAGAGCGCGCCAAGUGGCGUUGAUCGUUGCGAGGCUCCCGAAGGAGCGCUCGUUAACUAGUUGCUCCCCCCUCCCAUCGGCUAUUUUAUUUUUUGCCAGCUCUCCGGACCUGGGCCACAGUGCGCCAUCAGGUGGGCUUCCUCCAUUGGGCCAAAGCUGAUGGCAAAUAACGAAACCAAAUAGCGUACGUGAAAUUAAUUGAAGCGGGACCAAACAAAGCGGAAUAGUAGGUAUAGAUACACAUCCACCAACCUGGACCGACAAAGACAACCUAAUCCUAGUCGUACGUGACCUCCUAUAUGGACUCCAAAACCUAUACGAACUAGUCAUGUACUCCCUCCGUCCC